CGGAAGGGUGGAACCUGGUUCCACCCCUCCCUAAACCUCAUUUAAGGGCUGGCUACCAUCAGGGAAGGAUCUCUACCUGAAGAUUCCCCCUUUAGGAAUAUUUUGUGAGCCCUGAUCCUUGGGAUGGGUAUGCCUGUUUGACUCAAGAGCUAUGGUCAAAGUGUGGUGCUGCAGGAGAAAGAACAGAGUUGCUUUAAACUUUUAGGCAAAAUAUACCUGAAGACAUGAUCUGAGAAGAUUUUUUUAUCUCAAAAUCUAUUAUGUUCAAUUACUUAUGUGUGAAAGCUUCAAACUGCCUGUCUUCAUGAAGUUACUAGGCAUUUGCUACCAUUGGUGAAGGCACACCUAGCUUCCUGGAGAAGACAUUUCUGCCAUGAAAAUGGCUUCCGUCCUUGGAAAAGGAUUUGCUUGCUGCAGGCAGAAUCAGACUGUCAGUUUACAGUCAUUUGGACUCCUUGCCUGCUUCAAAUAAAGCAGCUGCUAAACGCUUUUGACUCAACCUGCAUUUUUGAAUUUAAGACACCCUCCUUCCCCACUGGUUUGAUAGACCCUGCUGUUAAAACCUUAAUGAAUAUGAAUGGUGUCACACCUGUUAAACUGUUGCUUAGAAAUCUGAAUAGAGUAAGGCUUUCUUUAAUGUAUAUGGUUAAUGAUUUUUUUUGCUGCUUUGUUUGAUUCAGAAUUGUAUUUGUUUAUUUGUUUGAGAAUAUGUUCAUGUUGUGCUGCAACGUUUGUGGAAACUUAGAAACAAGUCCUAGUAAUGCUAUAGGGCAGAUAAAGACCACCUAAGGCUAAGAAAAGUGGAAGAAACAAAUAUCUAAACAACAUGCAGUGGAUUUCUCCUUAUUUUCAAGGUGUGUUAACUUAAAACAAAUUUGGUAAAUGGCAGACUUCCAAAUGUCGUAGCUAGAACAUGUUGUAAUUAAUUUUGUAAUUUCUUUGUGAUGUUUAACAGAUGAUGUUACAUUUUGCAAUAACUAUUUAAUAUAGUGAGUGAUUUCUAUCUUUUUCUUUUCUUAUGAAAGACAAUAACUAGGGGAAGUUUUGUCUUGCUAUCCCUGUUAUGACAUUGAGAAAGCACUGAAUGCAGUAAAUGAAUUAGGCUGUGGGAUACUUCUAAUUCAGUUAGGGCAGAGAGAAAAGGUGUAAUUGUAUUGACAUCUUCUGUCAUGACUAUGUCAAUCACGUAGUGGUAACUUGGCCGUAGGUGGACCACGUCACAUAUGUUUCCGGUCUCUAAUAAUACAGAGUUUAAAUUCUUGGCUUCUGACUAAAUAACUGUUCCCCACAGCCUUAUAAGAAUAACAAAGAUUUCAAGUAGUUAAUAUAUACAUUACUGUUUAUAUUCAUUUGUAUAUAUAAUUAGCAAUAGAGUUUUUUUUAUACCAGUGAAGUUAUCAUAGAAAGCUUUUUCCUGUACAUACUCAAUUAAAGGAAGUUUGUUCCUUGAGCAGGUGUGUUAAAACUAGACUGUAAAGUGAAGGUCAUUUUUUUUCUGGUGAUAGAAAACAUGGUCUAAGACAAGUUGUUUGACCUACUUUGACUUGUGUAGGCUGCAACAAGCAGUUAGCAAUAUCUCUAGCUUAUCUCAGUUUCUUUGCUGGUAAAACCAUGAGGCAACCAUCAUGCUUCAUGUUAGCUCUUGGAAGAUGCUUGUACAAUAAGGCAUGAUGUGCAGAAUCUAACUCUUAUCUCAUGCCAUAUAAUGUGCCAGGUAAUGUUUUUGUCAUUGUGCAUAUAGUUUGACAACUACCAUAUUACCGUAUACCUUUUAUUCUUGCACUGAAAUGCCUGCUAAUGUCAGUGAGGAAUGUGAUAUCUUUUCAUGUCUAACUCAUCAACCUACUGAUCUUAAUCAAAAAGCAAAUGAGAAACAUGGGAGUGAAAUUUCCAACAGCAAUUUUCAGAGGUGCAGUUUUGCUGUUCUAACUGUACUUGUAUCUACCAUAAUAUGGUGACACAAGCCUUUUGCAGGAAGUUGAUGGGUAUAUCCAGAAUUAGAAUUUAUUUGAUGCUUUAUCCAGCUUGCACACUUCAAUUGUGCAGCACAUCUUACUUUAAGACCAUAGAAUUUAAGAUUCAUCUACUGAAAAGUGAGGUUAGGUAACUUUCUCACUCUUUUCUCUCUCCCCCCCCCCC